rnacentral:lncRNA from 1 species
ACUCUUCUACCUCUUGAAUAUUUGGAACACCAAAAAAAGGAAGAUCUGCCAGCUUUACCAUGGCUAACUGAUGAUGUAAGUACAUUUAGUGGGGAACCUAAUUGUUGUUGGAAAAUACCUGUAAUACAAUGUCAUUAUAUUUUCUCAGAUUGUGAACUGCAGGAUUUCUCAGUUAGUAGAUGGACAGAAGUUCAAGGUCCUCCCUACAUUUGAGUUUGUUUGCUGGUGGCGUGACAUUAAAACCACAGGAUCAAUUACCUCUCGCAACAAGAAGAUUCUUCAGGACCUGCACCCAGACACAGUCAUUUUGUUUCCCAGGAUUGUUGGUGGUAAAACACCUGAAAGUGGAAACCAUUUCAUUCUUUGGGUGAUUGAUGGAGUCCUGAAACAAAUCAGAGUUUAUGACUCUCUCCAACUGUAUCCUUCACCCAAUGACUGGGAGAUGGACAUACUAAGGUAUUUAAACCUUAAGAAAUUGCAGCUUUGUUGCAAAAUUAGUUACAGACACAGUUGAUUGUUUUUUAUUA